AACGAACGCUGGCGGCAGGCCUAACACAUGCAAGUCGAGCGCACCUUCGGGUGAGCGGCGGACGGGUUAGUAUCGCGUGGGAGCGUGCCCUUCUCUACGGAAUAGCCCAGGGAAACUUGGAUUAAUACCGUAUACGCCCUUGGGGGGAAAGAUUUAUCGGAGAAGGAUCGGCCCGCGUUGGAUUAGGUAGUUGGUGGGGUAAUGGCCUACCAAGCCGACGAUCCAUAGCUGGUUUGAGAGGAUGAUCAGCAACACUGGGACUGAGACACGGCCCAGACUCCUACGGGAGGCAGCAGUGGGGAAUCUUAGACAAUGGGGGAAACCCUGAUCUAGCCAUGCCGCGUGGACGAUGAAGGCCUUAGGGUUGUAAAGUCCUUUCGCUGGGGAAGAUAAUGACGGUACCCAGUAAAGAAGCCCCGGCUAACUCCGUGCCAGCCGCCGCAGUAACAC
rnacentral:rRNA from 1 species